CUCCUUACGGGGGAGACAGUCAUGAGACGUGAGUAUAAGACCUGAGUGUAAAGACCUUAGGGUGAAGCAAUUGGAGGGCAAGCUUUGGUGCCAGCAGCCGCGGUAACUCCAACUCCAAGAGUGUCUAUGGUGGAUGCUGCAGUUAAAGGGUCCGUAGUCGUGAAUGCAAUUAAAUGUCGUUGUUCAAUAGCGAUGAGUUUGCUAAUGUUUGCGGAACGGAUAGGGAGUGUAGUAUAGACUGGCGAAGAAUGAAAUCUCAAGACCCAGUUUGGACUAACGGAGGCGAAGGCGACACUCUUAGACGUAUCUUAGGAUCAAGGACGAAGGCAGGAGUAUCGAAAGUGAUUAGACACCGCUGUAGUUCCUGCAGUAAACUAUGCCGACAGCCUGUGUGUGAGAAUACGUGGGCGGGAGAAAUCUUAGUGUUCGGGCUCUGGGGAUAGUACGCUCGCAAGGGUGAAACUUAAAGCGAAAUUGACGGAAGGACACUACCAGGAGUGGAUUGUGCUGCUUAAUUUAACUCAACGCGGGAAAACUUACCAGGGUCAAGUCAUUCGUUGAUCGAAUACGUGAGAAUGGCAGGAUGGG
rnacentral:rRNA from 1 species